AUACGUAGGUGGCAAGCGUUAUCCGGAUUUACUGGGUGUAAAGGGCGCGUAGGCGGGGGUGCAAGUCAGAUGUGAAAUCUAUGGGCUUAACUCAUAAACUGCAUUUGAAACUGUAUCUCUUGAGUGCUGGAGAGGUAGACGGAAUUCCUUGUGUAGCGGUGAAAUGCGUAGAUAUAAGGAAGAACACCAGUGGCGAAGGCGGUCUACUGGACAGUAACUGACGCUGAGGCGCGAAAGCGUGGGGAGCAAACAGGAUUAGAUACCCUGGUAGUCCACGCUGUAAACGAUGAAUACUAGGUGUGGGGGGACUGACCCCCUCCGUGCCGCAGUUAACACAAUAAGUAUUCCACCUGGGGAGUACGUUCGCAAGAAUGAAACUCAAAUGAAUUGACGGGG
rnacentral:rRNA from 1 species